UGCAGUCGACGAUGAAGCCCAGCUUGCUGGGCGGAUUAGUGGCGAACGGGUGAGUAAUACGUGAGUAACCUGCCUUUAACUCUGGGAUAAGCCUUGGAAACGGGGUCUAAUACCGGAUACGACCAACCUUCGCAUGAGGUGUUGGUGGAAAGGGAUUUUGUACUGGUUUUAGAUGGGCUCACGGCCUAUCAGCUUGUUGGUGAGGUAACGGCUCACCAAGGCGACGACGGGUAGCCGGCCUGAGAGGGUGACCGGCCACACUGGGACUGAGACACGGCCCAGACUCCUACGGGAGGCAGCAGUGGGGAAUAUUGCACAAUGGGCGCAAGCCUGAUGCAGCGACGCCGCGUGAGGGAUGACGGCCUUCGGGUUGUAAACCUCUUUCAGCAGGGGAGAAGCGAAAGUGACGGUACCUGCAGAAGAAGCGCCGGCUAACUACGUGCCAGCAGCCGCGGUAAUACGUAGGGCGCGAGCGUUGUCCGGAAUUAUUGGGCGUAAAGAGCUUGUAGGCGGUUUGUCGCGUCUGCUGUGAAAGCCCGGGGCUUAACCCCGGGUUUGCAGUGGGUACGGGCAGACUAGAGUGCAGUAGGGGAGACUGGAAUUCCUGGUGUAGCGGUGAAAUGCGCAGAUAUCAGGAGGAACACCAAUGGCGAAGGCAGGUCUCUGGGCUGUAACUGACGCUGAGAAGCGAAAGCAUGGGGAGCGAACAGGAUUAGAUACCCUGGUAGUCCAUGCCGUAAACGUUGGGCACUAGGUGUGGGGAACAUUCCACGUUUUCCGCGCCGUAGCUAACGCAUUAAGUGCCCCGCCU
rnacentral:rRNA from 1 species